UACGGAGGGUGCGAGCGUUGUCCGGAAUCAUUGGGCGUAAAGGGUGCGUAGGUGGCGCUGUAAGUCGGGUGUGAAAUUUCGGAGCUUAACUCCGAAACUGCAUUCGAUACUGCGGUGCUUGAGGACUGGAGAGGAGACUGGAAUUCAUGGUGUAGCAGUGAAAUGCGUAGAGAUCAUGAGGAAGACCAGUGGCGAAGGCGGGUCUCUGGACAGUUCCUGACACUGAGGCACGAAGGCCAGGGGAGCAAACGGG
rnacentral:rRNA from 1 species